rnacentral:rRNA from 1 species
UACGGAGGGGGCUAGCGUUGUUCGGAAUUACUGGGCGUAAAGCGCACGUAGGCGGCUUUGUAAGUUAGAGGUGAAAGCCCGGGGCUCAACUCCGGAAUUGCCUUUAAGACUGCAUCGCUAGAAUUGUGGAGAGGUAAGUGGAAUUCCGAGUGUAGAGGUGAAAUUCGUAGAUAUUCGGAAGAACACCAGUGGCGAAGGCGACUUACUGGACACAUAUUGACGCUGAGGUGCGAAAGCGUGGGGGAGCAAAACAGGG